rnacentral:rRNA from 1 species
GAUGAACGCUAGCGGCAGGCCUAAUACAUGCAAGUCGGACGGGAUCCAUCGGAGAGCUUGCUCGAAGAUGGUGAGAGUGGCGCACGGGUGCGUAACGCGUGAGCAACCUACCUCUAUCAGGGGGAUAGCCUCUCGAAAGAGAGAUUAACACCGCAUAAUAUAAUCUUCCGGCAUCGUUAGAUUAUUAAAUAUUUAUAGGAUAGAGAUGGGCUCGCGUGAAAUUAGCUCGUUGGUAAGGUAACGGCUUACCAAGGCGACAAUGGAUAGGGGCUCUGACGGGAGAAUCCCCCACACUGGUACUGAGGCACGGACCAGGCUCCUACGGGAGGCAGCAGUAAGGAAUAUUGGUCAAUGGGCGGAAGCCUGAACCAGCCAUGCCGCGUGCAGGACGACUGCCCUAUGGGUUGUAAACUGCUUUUGUCCAGGAAUAAACCUAAAUACGUGUAUUUAGCUGAAUGUACGGGAAGAAUAAGGAUCGGCUAACUCCGUGCCAGCAGCCGCGGUAAAAC